GCCUGGGUAGCUCAGUUGUUAGAGCAUCAGACUCUUAAUCUGAGGGUUCAGGGUUCAAGUCCCUACCCAUACA
rnacentral:tRNA from 1 species